rnacentral:rRNA from 1 species
UCGCACCUGUCUGCUCGCUAGAAAAUAAAAAUUACCCUUUAGGUGAAAAGGCCUAAAUAUAAAUAUAAGACAAAAAGACCCCGUCGAGCUUUACUAGUACCCCCUCUUAACCCAUUUUAAAAUCUUAAGAUAAAAUAAAGGCUUUCGAGUUUAGUUGGGGCGACUAAGGAGCACCUAAAGCCUCCUUUUAAUAUUUGGCUUACAAGCCCUAUUCCUGAUCCGUACCAUACACGAGCAAAGAAAGAGCUACCGCAGGGAUAACAGGCUAAUCCUCCUUAAGAGCCCAUAUUGACAGGAGGGGUUGGCACCUCGAUGUUGGCUUAGGGCAGCCCCUAAAUGCAGCAGUUUAGAUCGGCAAGUUUGUUCAACUUCUAACCCCCUACGUGAUCUGAGUUCAG